UUAAGCUUUACAUGGACCACAACAGAUCUACCUCUUCUUCAAACUUUACUUCAAAGAAGCAUUUGCUUGACAGUUGUGAGGUAGAAGAAUUCCUGAACAAUGGCAGUUCCAUUAACUGAAGUUUGAGGAUUACCUUAAGGAGUGAUGUCAGUCAGCUAAUUCCAAGGUAGGGCUGGGCACAAGAGUUUUAAAGAACUUCUGGUAUGCCACACCUGCUCUCUCUCAUUCCAACCUCUCCCAAGUUGAGACACAGACAAAGGAACCCAAUGAGAAACUGAUGCCAAAGUCCAGGUUAAAGACUAAGGUCCUAGCCUACACUUAAGAUCCUUUAUCACUCAGUUCCCCUUUACUUACCCAACAUGAUUUCUUUCUACUCCUCAGCAUUUGAUCUGAUUAAUCUCUUUAAGGUCUCUUGAAAACAGACUUCUCAUUCUUGCCCUUGAUGUUACUUUUUCUGUUCCUUAAAGCCUCAAUUUCUAUCUCUACGUCUUCUCUAACAAAGGGUGGGCUAUGAGUUAUUUCCACCUUAGUGAUCUCUUUGGCUAACUAUAAUUCUCAGUGGUCCUUCCUUACUCUAAAUGUCAAGUAUUCUUUUAUAUACAAUCUAUAACCUCCUAUCUAGCAUCAGUAAACUUUAAUGUGUGUCUUACAUAUCUUAGUAGAAUACCUUUCCUAGAGGAGGAAAUAUUAAUAAUAUUUUAUCUAGGUAUAAAAGAUAAGUCACCAUGUGAUUUAGAAAUGAAAAGAUUAUUUUAAACGUAAAUUAUUACAAACCUUUUCCGGAGACUGAAAUGGACUAUGGGUGAUCGUCGCUUGGAUGCUUGGUCUCAGGCUGUUGUGUUUGGCAGAUAUCAGUGAUUCUUCAGAAUGUUGGAAGGUGCCCAUAACUGACGGUACCUAGAAAAUCUGCAUUACAAACAAGUGUGGUUUGUGAAAUGUUACCAAAUGUCGAUUAAAAAGCUUAUUGACAUCAAUGAUAUUGCUGCUUAUAGUAGCUCCUUAAAUAUACUGUGUAUUCCAGGAGAAGCUCCGUUCGGAAACAUAAGUUCCUGGUGAAUGACCACUGUUUCAGGAAGAGUCAAGUGGUGUAACCAUGACACAAGCAGAAUCACAUGUGUCAUCCAGUCCUGUUAAAGCUACAAUGUAAAUAUUCAUGGUAUACUUUACCACUAAUGGGACUUCCAGAAGCUACAUUCUCCCAAAUGUUGUCAACUUUCCAUUUUCUACAAGCAUCCUUUUGGUACCUCCUUGGUGUUCAAUACAAAAUAAGGUAAUUGCCUUGUGACGAUGAUACAUCUUAUGAUUUAAGCUAGCACGUGCAUGCAAUGAAUAUGAAACUUUGAUGUCCCACAAGCAUCUUAAAUUCAAUUAACUUCAUUGCCUUUAUCCCAAGACCUGCUGCUCCUUCCAUAUCCCGCAUCUCAUUGUGCACAAAGUCAACCAAGCCAAAAUCCUGGCUAAUCAUCCUUGACUAAUUUUGUCUACUUUUCUCCAUAAAUUGAUAAGCUCCGUUAAUUUUGUCUUUUAAAUAUUUCUUGAUUCACAAUACUUUUUUCCCCCCAUCCCUUCUACUGCUGUCAUGACCACAUAAUCUCUCAACUGGAGAAAUAUAUUGGUUUCAUGACUGAUCACUCUCCUUCCAAUUGUAUCUUCCUCCACAUUGCAACCAGCAUGAUCUAUCUAAAAGGCAAAUCUAACCAUGUGACUUCCCUGCUAAAAACUCUUCCAUGGCUACCCAUUCCCUAUGUCAAGGUUUCUUAUAGGUUUACCCUGUACAUAUGUGCAUCAAGUGCAGUGUCAAGGUAUCAGUGACCUUUUCCCAAAAAGCUAAGAUUCACUGGCCUGGAGCAUAUAGUUUCUCAGACCUUG